AGCAGUAGCGCGGGAAUACGGAGGGUGCAAGCGUUAUCCGGAUUUAUUGGGUUUAAAGGGUCCGUAGGCGGAUCUGUAAGUCAGUGGUGAAAUCUCACAGCUUAACUGUGAAACUGCCAUUGAUACUGCAGGUCUUGAGUAAAUUUGAAGUGGCUGGAAUAAGUAGUGUAGCGGUGAAAUGCAUAGAUAUUACUUAGAACACCAAUUGCGAAGGCAGGUCACUAAGAUUUAACUGACGCUGAUGGACAAAAGCGUGGGGAGCGAACAGGAUUAGAGACCCCUGUAGUCCCUGUCUCUUAUACA
rnacentral:rRNA from 1 species